AUAUAAAUCAUCUCAUCAUCUUGUUAACAUGCAGAUUUUGAUCCAGGUUCACUGUAGAACCUGAGGUUCUGCCUUUCUAAUAAACUCCCAAGUGAUGCCAGG
rnacentral:pre_miRNA from 1 species